UACGUAGGGCAGCAAGCGUUGUUCGGAAUUACUGGGCGUAAAGGGCGCGCAGGCGGCUCUGAAAGUCAGAUGUGAAAGCCCCGGGCUUAACCUGGGAAUUGCAUUUGAUACUCUGGAGCUUGAGUACGGGAGAGGAGAGUGGAAUUCCCAGUGUAGAGGUGAAAUUCGUAGAUAUUGGGAAGAACACCGGUGGCGAAGGCGGCUCUCUGGACCGUAACUGACGCUGAGGCGCGAAAGCGUGGGGAGCAAACAGGG
rnacentral:rRNA from 1 species